GAGUGGCAAACAAGAUAUUAAGAGUAGAUGGUGGAUGCCUUGGGUAGUAGAGGCGAUGAAGGACGCACUAGACUGCGAUAAGCUACGGGGAGCUGUCAAGAAGCAUUGAUCCGUAGAUUUCCGAAUGGGGCAACCCAACUUACAGCAAUGUAGGUUACUCUAUAUAUAGAGAGCGAACCUAGCGAAGUGAAACAUCUCAGUAGCUAGAGGAAAAGAAAUCAACGAGAUUCCCUCAGUAGUGGCGAGCGAAAGGGGAAGAGGGCAAACCACAUGCUUGCAUGUGGGGUUGAGGACGGCAACAUUCAAGGGGUUUUUCUAGCAAAGUUGUUUGGAAAGACAAGCCAUAGAAGGUGAUAGCCCUGUAUGCGAAAGGAAAACCCUAGAUAGCCGGAUCCAGAGUAGGCCAGGACACGGGAAAUCCGGGCUGAAGCCGGGGAGACCACUCUCCAACCCUAAAUACUACUACUACACCGAUAGCGCACAAGUACCGUGAGGGAAAGGUGAAAAGAACCGUGGGUAACGGAGUGAAAUAGAACCUGAAACCAUCUACUUACAAUCAUUCAGAGCCCUAUGAUUUAUCAGGGUGAUGGACUGCCUUUUGCAUAAUGAUCCUGCGAGUUGUGGUGUCUGGCAAGGUUAAGUGAAAACGAGCCGUAGCGAAAGCGAGUCUUAAAUAGGGCGCUUUAGUCAGACGCUGCAGACCCGAAGCCAAGUGAUCUAUCCAUGGCCAAGUUGAAACGAGUGUAACAGCUUGUGGAGGACUGAACCCGUGCCCAUUGAAACGGGCUGGGAUGAGCUGUGGAUAGGGGUGAAAGGCCAAACAAACUUGGUGAUAGCUGGUUCUCUUCGAAAUAUAUUUAGGUAUAGCCUCAAGUGAUGACAAGAGGGGGUAGAGCUCUGAUUGGGCUAGGGCUGCUCGCCGCAGUACCAAACCCUGUCAAACUGCGAAUACCUUUUGUUGUAUCUUGGGAGUCAGGCGGUGGGUGAUAAAAUCAAUCGUCAAGAGGGAAACAACCCAGACUACCAACUAAGGUCCCAAAGUUCUAUUCUAAGUGGAAAAAGAUGUGUGGUUACUCAAACAACCAGGAGGUUGGCUUAGAAGCAGCCAUCCUUUAAAGAAAGCGUAACAGCUCACUGGUCUAGUGAUCAUGCGCUGAAAAUAUAACGGGGCUAAGAUAGACACCGAAGUUGUAGAUUGCCCUUGUGGCAGUGGUAGAAGAGCGUUCUGUGCAGCGUUGAAGGCAUACCGGUAAGGAGUGUUGGAGCGCACAGAAGUGAGCAUGCAGGAAUGAGUAGCGAUAAGAUGCGUAAGAAUCGUAUCCGCCGUAAAUCUAAGGUUUCCUACGCGAUGUUCGUCAUCGUAGGGUUAGUCGGGUCCUAAGCCAAGUCCAAAAGGGGUAGGCGAUGGCAAAUGGGUUAAUAUUCCCAUACCAAUUGCAAUGUGCGAUGGGAGGACGCAUAAAGUUAGGCGAGCCAGCUGAUGGAAGUGCUGGUCGAAGGGUGUAGAUUGGGAGAGUGGCAAAUCCGCUCCUGUAUUUGAAACCUGACAGGCUCUCUAAGACCUUCGGGUCAAGGGGAGAAUCGCUGACACUAUCGUGCCAAGAAAAGUCUCUAAGUUUAGUUGCAAUUGUCCGUACCGCAAACCGACACAGGUAGAUGAGAUGAGUAUUCUAAGGCGCGUGGAUGAACUCUCUUUAAGGAACUCUGCAAACUAGCACCGUAAGUUCGCGAUAAGGUGUGCCUACUCUAAGUAGGUCUCAGCAAAGAGUCCCUCCCGACUGUUUACCAAAAACACAGCACUUUGCCAACUCGUAAGAGGAAGUAUAAGGUGUGACGCCUGCCCGGUGCUCGAAGGUUAAGAGGAUGGGUUAGCCGCAAGGCGAAGCUUUGAAUUGAAGCCCGAGUAAACGGCGGCCGUAACUAUAACGGUCCUAAGGUAGCGAAAUUCCUUGUCGGUUAAAUACCGACCUGCAUGAAUGGCGUAACGAGAUGGGAGCUGUCUCAAAGAGAGAUCCAGUGAAAUUGUAGUGGAGGUGAAAAUUCCUCCUACCCGCAGCAAGACGGAAAGACCCCGUGGACCUUUACUAUAGCUUAGCACUGCUAAUGGGAAUGCCAUGCGCAGGAUAGGUGGGAGGCUGUGAAGUAAGGGCUUUGGCUCUUAUGGAGCCAUCCUUGAGAUACCACCCUUGGCGUUUUUGUUAGCUAACUGGCCUAAGUCAUCCUUAGGCAGGACAAUGCUUGGUGGGUAGUUUGACUGGGGCGGUCGCCUCCUAAAAAGUAACGGAGGCUUACAAAGGUUAGCUCAUGGCGGUUGGAAAUCGCCAGCUGAGUGUAAUGGCACAAGCUAGCUUAACUGCAAGAGAGACAACUCAAGCAGGGACGAAAGUCGGUCAUAGUGAUCCGGUGGUUCUCGUGUGGAAGAGCCAUCGCUCAAAGGAUAAAAGGUACCCCGGGGAUAACAGGCUGAUCUCCCCCAAGAGCUCACAUCGACGGGGAGGUUUGGCACCUCGAUGUCGGCUCAUCGCAUCCUGGGGCUGGAGCAGGUCCCAAGGGUAUGGCUGUUCGCCAUUUAAAGCGGUACGCGAGCUGGGUUCAGAACGUCGUGAGACAGUUCGGUCCCUAUCUGCUGUGGGCGUAGGAAAGCUGAGGAGAGCUGUCCCUAGUACGAGAGGACCGGGAUGGACAUGCCACUGGUGCACCAGUUGUUCUGCCAAGAGCACCGCUGGGUAGCCACGCAUGGUUGUGAUAAGAGCUGAAAGCAUCUAAGCUCGAAGCCAACUCCAAGAUAAGCUUUCCCUGAAGCUCGCAUGAAGACUACAUGUUUGAUAGGGUGGGUGUGUAAGUGCAGUAAUGCACUCAGCUAACCACUACUAAUAGAGCGUUUGGCUUGUUUGCUUGCUUAAG
rnacentral:rRNA from 1 species